UUUUUGGUGUCUAAAAAAGAAAAACUAAAUUCUCUCAAAUACUGAAGACCAAAGGCAGAGGGUUUUUCUCUUCCAUUCUCUCUCUCCAUCUCUCAAUUUACAGUUCAGGGUUUGGUUCUGGAUCGUUGAUUCUUGAAUCGAUUGAUGGAGGAGGGGUUUAUGAAUUCUAGGGUCUCCUACUGAUGGAACUAUGUAUCCAUUUCCCCGUAAUCAGUGGGUUUGCCUCUUUUGAUCUUUUUUCCUGCCUG
rnacentral:misc_RNA from 1 species